GGGAGUAAACCUGUCAAAAGAGGAAGUCAGGGCCCAGGCACCAAAUCCACUUACCCGGCGAGAGCUCCUCAGUCAAGUCUCUGGGCUGUAUGAUCCCCUCGGCCUUGCAGCACCGGUCAAGCAGAAGGGAGCCAUCCUGGUAAGAAGAGCAUUCCAGGAGGCAAGAGUUAAGUACAGUCCAGCUGAGGAUACAUGGGACGCACCUUUGUCCGAGGGCCUUCGGGAAGACGCCAUCUGCCUCUUUGAAGACUACGCUGAGCCCAGUCGGGUGAAGUUCACCAGAGCCUUGACACCACCUGACUCUUGUGCCAAACCCUGCGGUAUCACCUUCUCUGAUGGCAGCGAGCGUUCCUAUGGUGCUGUACUGUACCUACGGUGGGAAAUGCCACACACUGUGACCCUACGACUGGUCGAAGCCAAAGCCAGGUUGACUCCUCUAGACCACAAGGGCGACGCUGUCAAGGCUGAAGUCUGCGGUGCCGUCUACGCUGGCCGUCUAAAGAAGUACUUCCAGAAGCACUGUAGUAUCCGUGUGGAAAAGUGGUACCACCUGAUCGACAGCCGGACAGUCCUGGGGGCCAUCCAACGUGAGAGCUACGACUACCAAACGUUUUUUGCCAAUAGAAUUGGAGAAAUCCAAGGCAGCACAAACGUCCAAGACUGGUGGUGGAUUCCUGGGCCUCUCAACAUCGCAGAUAUUAUCUCAAGAGGGGCAAGCCCGGAGGAGCUGGAUGAAGACACUGAAUGGCAGCUUGGUCCCAAGUUUCUGAGCCUCCCCGAGCGUGAGUGGCCCGUGAAAUCUGCAAAAGAUGUUGCUGUAGAAGCCAGAGAGAACAUCAUGUGCAUCCAGAAGAAGGCAUUCGUUGCUGCACUGACCCGAUCUGGAGCAAAGAAGGAACCCAAGACGGAACCAAGCUCAAACCCCACUAAUCUGCACAGGCCUCCUGCUGGUUCCGCUGUCACAAAUCUGGUGAAAAUCCAGCGGUUCAGCAGCCUAACCAGACUGGUAAAGUCUCUUGCACUGGUCUGGAGGGCCGCAAAGAAAUUUCUCAGUCUCAAAGCCCGGGGGAAACCAAAGUGGGAGGCAGUCCAAAUGACCGGUACAGUCACUGUGGCCGAGAGAGAAGACUCGUUCCGAGACCUCUGCCUUGCGGCACAAGAAGGAGCUACCUUCCCUGACACCACAACAAACCGGCUGGUCACGUACAGGGACGAAGCCAGCGGGCUGUUGCUGUGCGGUGGCAGGGUCCAGCACUUUAAAGAAGAUGGCCGUGCUGUUCCACUGAUCCCCUUCAACACCUGGUUGGGGACUCUGCUGGCACGCCAAAGUCACCAAGAAGGCCAUGAAGGAGUUGCUGGCACUCUACUAAGAAUGCGGCAAAUGGCUUGGGUUGUGCAAGGCAGGAGACUGGCUCAACAAGUCAUCAAUAAGUGCAUCCACUGCAAAAAGGCCAGAGCUCAAGUCUGCCAACAAGUGAUGGGUGACCUACCUGUAGAAAGGGCAAGACCUGCUGCGCCGUUCCAAUUCAUAUCAGUCGACCUGUUCGGACCUUACCUGGUCAGAGAUGACAUCAAAAGAAGAGUCUCCAUGAAAGUCUGGGGAGUCGUCUUCUGCUGCAUGGCAAGCCGGGCUCUGCAUAUCGACCUUGUCAACAGCCUUUCAACAGAAAGCUUCCUCAUGGCCUACCAAAGGUUCACCGCCAUCAGAGGGCACCCCACCAAGGUCUGGUCAGACCCUGGAACCAACUUUGUUGGUGCAAAGUCUCUGCUGGAAGACCUUUACAGUUUCCUGGGUAGCCAAUACAUGCCAAACCUGGAAGAGUAUGCUGUGAAGAAUGGGACAAGCUGGACAUGGAAAGUGCUCCCUGCCGAUUCACCGCAUCGAAAUGGAGCUGCAGAAGCUGCCGUAAAGAUCACAAAGAGAGCCCUUCAAAGUCUGAGCACCCAGGCAAACCUCACCUUCAGCGAGUUCCUCACAUUCCUCCAGAUGGCAGCAAACCUGGCAAAUGAGCGGC
rnacentral:lncRNA from 1 species